GAUAACGAUAACAUUAAAAAUGAAAAUAUAUCAGCCGAUACUGGUAUGGUGGCCGAUAUAUCGUGCAUCCCUAACUUUUUGGCCAAAUGUGGAAGAUAGCUUUCACAUCUGGAUAUGGCAUGGCUAAGGCUAAGCACACAUUUGGCCAACUUUUCACAUAUGUUUUGCUAUGCUUAAGAAUUGGAGGGAGUUUUCUUUUGGAUCACCAUUUGAAUUUAGGCAUAUAGCCCAGAUGACAGUACACAACUGAGGAUCAAAAGUGGCUUGGCUUAACUUAUGGUUAACAUAAUGGUUCAUACUUGGAAAAAACAUAUAACCUGCUAAAGUCAUGUACAUUUUGAGGAUUAUUGCAGUCCAUACCUUAACCUAUUCAACAACGCUAUUGGUUGCUUUGCAUCUUACAUUGAAGUCCUAUUGGUGGAUUACAAAUGUGACAGCUAUAUAAAAAAAAGUUAUUUCCGUUAUUUCCUUUUGCUCUCUCUUCACAUCAACAGCCUUUGCCCAAAACAAUCUCUUAUUAGCUUCAGAUGGUGAGUGAGAAAGAUUGAGGCGACAUACUAAAAGAAGCAAUUAUUGUAAAAGUAUUCACACAUUUGACACUUCCAACAAUGUUUAAGAUGCUAUAUUUAAUAAAAAUUAAAAUGUGCAAGUC